UACGUAGGGUGCGAGCGUUAAUCGGAAUUACUGGGCGUAAAGCGUGCGCAGGCGGUUGUGCAAGACCGAUGUGAAAUCCCCGGGCUUAACCUGGGAAUGGCAUUGGUGACUGCACGGCUAGAGUGUGUCAGAGGGGGGUAGAAUUCCACGUGUAGCAGUGAAAUGCGUAGAGAUGUGGAGGAACACCGAUGGCGAAGGCAGCCCCCUGGGUCAAGAUUGACGCUCAUGCACGAAAGCGUGGGGAGCAAACAGG
rnacentral:rRNA from 1 species